rnacentral:rRNA from 1 species
CCUACGGGAGGCAGCAGUGGGGAAUAUUGGGCAAUGGAGGAAACUCUGACCCAGCAACGCCGCGUGAAGGAUGAAGGCCCUCGGGUUGUAAAGUUCUUUUCUAAGGGAAGAAAAAAGUGACGGUACCUUAUGAAUAAGCCUCGGCUAACUACGUGCCAGCAGCCGCGGUAAUACGUAGGAGGCGAGCGUUAUCCGGAUGUACUGGGUGUAAAGGGCGCGUAGGUGGUUUUGCAAGUCAGCUGCGAAACUCCACGGCUCAACCUUGGAACUGCAACUCAAACUGUGGGACUUGAGUGCAGGAGGGGCAGCCGGAAUUCCUGGUGUAGCGGUGGAAUGCGUAGAUAUUAGGAGGAACACCAGUGGCGAAGGCGGGUUGCUAGACUGUAACUGACGCUGAGGCACGAAAGCGUGGGGAGCAAACAGGAUUAGAUACCCGAGUAGUC